rnacentral:tRNA from 1 species
GUAAAUAUAGUUUAACUAAAACAUUAGAUUGUGAAUCUAACUACAGAGGCUUACCACCUCUUAUUUACC